UACGUAGGGGGCAAGCGUUGUCCGGAAUCAUUGGGCGUAAAGCGCGUGUAGGCGGUUCAGUAAGUCUGCUGUGAAAGUCCAGGGCUCAACCCUGGGAUGCCGGUGGAUACUGCUGGGCUAGAGUACGGGAGAGGAGAGUGGAAUUCCCGGUGUAGCGGUGAAAUGCGCAGAUAUCGGGAAGAACACCCGUGGCGAAGGCGGCUCUCUGGAACGCAACUGACGCUGAGACGCGAAAGCGUGGGGAGCAAACAGG
rnacentral:rRNA from 1 species